AUUGAACGCUGGCGGCAGGCCUAACACAUGCAAGUCGAGCGGAUGAAGGGAGCUUGCUCCUGGAUUCAGCGGCGGACGGGUGAGUAAUGCCUAGGAAUCUGCCUGGUAGUGGGGGAUAACGUCCGGAAACGGGCGCUAGUACCGCAUACGUCCUGAGGGAGAAAGUGGGGGAUCUUCGGACCUCACGCUAUCAGAUGAGCCUAGGUCGGAUUAGCUAGUUGGUGGGGUAAAGGCCUACCAAGGCGACGAUCCGUAACUGGUCUGAGAGGAUGAUCAGUCACACUGGAACUGAGACACGGUCCAGACUCCUACGGGAGGCAGCAGUGGGGAAUAUUGGACAAUGGGCGAAAGCCUGAUCCGGCCAUGCCGCGUGUGUGAAGAAGGUCUUCGGAUUGUAAAGCACUUUAAGUUGGGAGGAAGGGCAGUAAGUUAAUACCUUGCUGUUUUGACGUUACCAACAGAAUAAGCACCGGCUAACUUCGUG
rnacentral:rRNA from 1 species